rnacentral:rRNA from 1 species
ACAGAGGGUGCAAGCGUUGUUCGGAAUUACUGGGCGUAAAGCGCGUGUAGGCGGUUGUUCAAGUCUUGUGUGAAAGCCCUGGGCUCAACCCAGGAAGUGCGCAAGAUACUGGAUAGCUGGAGUGUCGGAGAGGAGGGCGGAAUACCCGGUGUAGAGGUGAAAUUCGUAGAUAUCGGGUGGAACACCUGUGGCGAAGGCGGCCCUCUGGACGAUAACUGACGCUGAGACGCGAAAGCAUGGGGAGCAAACAGGAUUAGAUACCCUGGUAGUCCAUGCCUUAAACGAUGGAUGCUAGAUGUCACGGGUAUUGACCCCUGUGGUGUCGACGCUAACGCAUUAAGCAUCCCGCCUGGGGAGUACGGCCGCAAGGUUA